rnacentral:tRNA from 1 species
GGUUCUAUAGUGUAAUGGUGAGCAAUCUGGACUCAGAGUCCAGCGAUCCAAGUUCAAGUCUCAGUGGGACCC